CUUUCUGAGAAUGGCGAUACGCUGGUAUUGGCAAAUGUUAAAGGCAAAGAGGCAUUUAUCUAUAACCGUAGAGACAACAAAGUAGAGAAAAUUGGAAUUGCUACGCAUAGAAAGUGGUCACAGUCCAAGGGUUAUGUUGAAAGUUUAGUUUCGACUCAUUGAAAUUUAAAAGUGAGUUUCUCUUCCACAUAUUACUUGUUUGAAUUUAUGUUGCUUUGUAUAUUGCUAUAAAAAAUAGAAUGUGUGUGCGAAUGUUUUAUGUGAUGUCUUAGCCUCUUUGCUUAAGAUUCAUAUAACACAAUAGGAUUGCUGCAAUUGUCUUGUAUGAAUCUUAUUUUAUAAUGACAUAAUGAGUUUUAAUUUUAUUGUCUUAUAUGAAUCUUAUGUAUUUUGCAGACACUAUGUAUUGUAUGGCCAGAGAAAUACACAACAAAGAGGGCUG
rnacentral:lncRNA from 1 species